rnacentral:lncRNA from 1 species
UUCUUUCGUUUGGUAGGGCGACGAAAGGCUACUUCAAUGACGGAAACAGCCGGAAACUCGAGAGGGUCGCCUUUGGAGAAGCGUUUGCCGGUAACCAAAGCCUCACUCUGAUUAUGUCGUGAGGCUGACUGAAUCCAAUCCAUAAACCCGGAAAUGAAAGGUUGUUCGUUCCCUUUCGUCAAGUAGGCAUACGAACCACUUUGCCUUAGACUCUAUUGGAACAAAGCAAAGAAGGAGGCGGAAUGGAGAAAGGAAAGGGACAAGGGCGGUCUUGCUUGG